UUGAAAACAUUUCUCACGUUAAGUACUGACUUUUAAUAAACUUUCAAAACUUUUGAAUGAUAUAUCAAAAAGGAUUAAUUUAGAUAUCAGACAAAGGGAAAUAAAAUAUUAGGAAUAUUCUGGACAUAAUUCAAACAGGAUAAAGCAUAUAGAUGAACAAACAUCUUUAUCUUCUGAGAAUGCUCCUUAUGCUAAACUUCACCAAAUUACUUUCCUAUCUGCCUUAUCAUGGCGUAACAUUAUAAAAAGCAGGCUGUUUUAAAUGCUCAAGCUCUGCAAUUAUCUCAGCAUCUACCAUGUCAUUCUUUAACAAUUAGUUGCUAAUUACAGUAGUAUAAGCAUCCUAAAGAGAUGUGGCACUUCUAAAGAUUUUGCAGGUAUCUUUCUUACCAUUAGAGUUCUAUAAGAGACUAUACCACCUUUUUCUUUCUAGGACACUACAAAAAUGCUUGUAUCGUGUGGUUAUACAUAAAAUAUUCGACUGUUCUGCUCCAACCAGGAACUCCAAACUCUGAGAGGCAUACUAGAAAGUCAUUUUGAUUCCUGUCUGCACUUUACGUUAAAAUUAUACUACUACAGACUCUAUUAGCAAAAUUCCACAGUAGCGCUGUAUUAUUAUAGACAGAAAAAUAAUCUUUAAAAGUUGAAAAAAAUUACAUAACCUAGGAGUAAGCCAUAAUUAUCGUAACUUAGUAGGUUUUAGGUUUACCAUACUGGUGAGUAAGACUUUCCCUGGGAAUAAAGUGCUCAUCCAAGUAAAGCAAAUUAAUUUCUCUCAGGCACCUGAAACACUACAACUGGGAAUAACUACCUCCUCCAAAGGAGCGAAAUGGAUCCCUGGACUCCCUUCAAGGGCUAAUUUACCUAAUGUAAGUGAGCACUUUACUUCUACGUAAUGUUUUAUUUGCCUAGAAGCAUCACAGGAUUAAGAGUCUAAAUAUACCUAAUGUUAUAUUUUGAGUAUUUUAAGAUAUCUGUUCCUGAAAUAAUCUCCAUAAAAGAAGCUUAAUUCUUUACUGUCAAUACAGUAAAGUUUGUGAAAAUUAUCAAGGCAGUCUUAGAUUUUAGUCCCACAUUGGCUUAUAACCUUAUUAUAAAGUUUUUAUUUUUCUCUAUCUGUCAGCUCUUCAGAGAAAAAUAAGACUGACUACACGGUUUCACCUCUCUUGCAAGAUCAUGAAAAGAAGUGUAAAAACUUGCACGGGCAAAUAUUCUAGCAGUUAUCAGAAUGAAGAGGUUGUGCCACGCUGCUAACUGUAGCGAGAUAUAUCCAGGACCACAUGGAAGUUAUCAGUAAUAAUCACUGAAGUUGACAGGAUGUGCACCACCUGUGACUAUGACGAGACAACUUUGGCACAGGGACAGGGGUCUCCCAGUUCAUCCAGGCAAUGCUCGAAAAGGAGACAGGAAUAGCAGGCUGGCCUUCUGCAACUGGACCAAAUAUGGUGAAACCUAUUUAAGGCCAGCCACAGCAAAGAACCAGUCUUGCUAAGGGUCUUUCAGCCUGGGCCUCACAGUGGAACAUGGAACCCAGACAGAGGAAAGUUGCAGCUGAACCAUGUCUCAGCAGAUACAAUGAGGAUAAUGUGACACUGUUAAUGUAAGCCACUGUGAUUUCCAGCUUGUUCACAACACAGAAAAAUUGACUACAUAUACAUAUCUUACAGUGACAAAAACCAAGAAGCAGCUCGGUUAAAUAACUCUUCCAAAGUCUCAUAUCUGCAAAAUAGAAAUCAUUCCCAAACCAGUGUGUUUUUACCUAUUAUGUAAUGCUUUUCUUUGUGAUGAAAUGAACUGUCAAAGAAUUUACAAGGUAAGCUAAGAGUUCUUUUAUCAAGUGAGACUAUGAGGUCUACUGGUCACCUAAUCCAAGGGUGCUCUAAAGUAUCUCCAUGAAGUAUCAUUUCUCCUCUCUACUGAAGACAAAGUGUCACCUAUUCCUGUGUAUUUUCUCUUUUCAUGGGUUGAGAGACUAAUAAUGAUAAAUAUCUGCUUUCUGUUGACUUUCUGGGUUGUUUUUCAAAAUCUUCUCAUAAAAAUCUUAUUUAUAAUUCUAUUCAUUUGUGAGGCUAAAUAGCAAAGUUAUUGUUGCCAAAAUCUCCCGUCACUCCAAAUUCUUUAGUAACAAGUUAUAUUACAUGUCUAGCUUUUUCAGAAACGAGAAUGGUGAAGUAUCCACAGAUAAUGAUUUACUGUACACCAUAAAACCAAAAUGUCUGUUGCAGCUGUAAAGGUGACGAUGAGGAAGAGUACAUGGUUCUCUGAACUUUACUUCAACUGAAUAUCACCUAACUAGUUUCUUUUGUAUAUGUAGAUACAUUGUGUAUCUGGGAUCUUGGAUGUCUAACUCUAUUUUUAAAGCUUUUCUCUAAAACUGCUAGGGAAAGACUAAAUCAUGAGUGGAAUAUGUGUCUGUGUAGUAAGUUUUGUUAAUUUACAACUUAUAAAAUGUCAAAUUCUUUUAAAAAACAAACAACUUUGAGCUUCUUUAUGUGUGUAAAGGCACAAUGCUAAAGAAUUCCUGAUAGAAAAAAGACAAAGAAGAGAACUUCCUGUGUGCUGGAAUACUUUUUCUGUGAGGCUCAGGAAAAAUCCAUGCCAGAACAUAGCUGAUCCUAAGAAUUCACAAGGUUCUUUUUCUUUUUCCUUCCGAGAGCAGAGCCCCAAGACUGAAAUAUUUGGAAUCACUAUUACAAAAAUGCUACUUCUGUUCUGCCAUCUAUACUACCUUUGUCCUUUAUUCUCACUGCCAUCCCCCCAAUUGUGUUAUGAAUAAUUAGCCAUGAAAUCUUAAUUAAAUGUUGUUUUAUAAUUUUAUUUUAGUGAGUAUAAAAUAUUUACAGGGUUUUACUAGGCUCCAUUUAAGAUGAGAAAAAACUUUUUUCAUUAAUUUGUUUCAAUUCAGAAUUCACUUUCUCCUGGAAUUUUCAAGAUCAACCUAAAGUAUGGGGGAGAAAUUCUGUACUUUUUUGGGUAAUAUACUGAGGUUGAGUUUUACCCUGUCAUCGUUAAAUAUAGGCGAUAUUCUUUUUCUCAGAUUUUCCAUUACAUUAAUCAGCACUGUUCAUUUUCUUACUUUGUCACACAGUUUCACUAAAAAGCACAAGAAAUUCUGAUAAUUACAACUUAUAAAAUGUCAAAUUCUUUUAAAAAACAAACAACUUUGAGCUUCUUUAUGUGUGUAAAGGCACAAUGCUAAAGAAUUCCAAUUCCAAAGGCACAAUGCUUUGAAUUCCAUUCAAAGUUUGCAUUUAAAUAAAAUGUUUACUAUCUUGCUUCUUUUGAUAAAGUACAGAGAGUAGGGAAACUUGCAGUUUCUAAAGUCCCACAGUGAAUGAUCUAGAUAAUCUUGCUAGAACUACCUAUAAAACAACAGUAAAUUUUAAAGAAGGAUUUAUGGGACUUACCCACAAUAAAAUACAGGCCUUUAAGUACAGUAUUUUGUUUUGUGUGUGAUAUUUAUUUUGGCAAGUCAGAAAUCUUUUCUAACUCCUUUCUCUGGUAUAGGGUAGUACCUCAACAGGAAUAUCUAUUCCGGGAUCCUUUUAAAUCUAAGAAUAACCACGCUGCUAACAUUCAAAAGCUGUUCACCAGGAAACAGAGGAGAGAGGAGCCAGGGUGAGAGACCCUUCCAGGCCACACCCUCAGUGACCCACCUUUUCUGACCAGAUCCCAUCUCCUAGCUUGACAUUUAGCUAGGAACUCAUAGAGACCUCUGUAGCCAUGACACAAGGCAGCCCAACUGCUGCUCUAGCUGGCAGCAGACCUUGGGAUUAUCCACAUGGUGCUGGUUUUACAGGCAUACACAAUGCAAGAGUUGCAACUCAUCAGUUGAAGCGCAUCAGAAACCCACUGAUUAGUACAGUGUUCCUGUAAUCCAAUCACUUCCCCAAAACUGAAGGCAUGGGGCUCUGAACAGCAAUCUAGAUACAAACCAUAGCAUUCUACUCCUGGCCCCUAUGUACAUAUCUUUAAGCAAAAUGCAUAUAACCCAUCUCUAAGAGUUGCCAAAGUCCUAGCAGUUCUGACGCUGCUGAGAAGUCCAAGCUGAAAGUUUCCUCCAAGACUUAAAGCAAUCUUUUAGCUGUGAGCCUUUGUAAAAAUAAAAAAGAGAGUUAAACACUACCAACAGACAGUGGCACAGGGUAAACAUUCCCAUUCCAAAAGGGAGAAGUAGGGUGCCAGAAGUCAAUGGAACGAAGCAGGACCAAAACCUAGCAGGGCGAACAGUAAACCCUUUAUUUCCAUAUCCAGAGUCCAAGGCAAUUUGUAGAGAGUCAUGAAAGGGCUAUGGUGGCCCCAUCCCAAUGGCACUGCUAGUGGUUAUAGCUCUCAUGGCUUCUCUCUUGCACUGGCUUUACUUACUCUUUGUGGCUUUCCUCAGAUGUUCUGUUUCUAGGUUCUCCAACUUUCUGGGAUAUCCACUGCACUUUUGGCUUUAUUCUGCUUCACACACUGAUAUCUGAGGGCACACUGCCUGGCCUCUCAAGCCUUCUUCUGAAUCUGGG